rnacentral:lncRNA from 1 species
AACACCCAGUCUUCCUCCAGGCAAUUGCCCCAAACUCAUCAACCUGAAGUCUUUACUCUCCCUGACCUGUCCAUACAGAAACAAGUCUGCCUCAAGUCACUGGUUUUCUCUGACUCUUUACUCAGAUGUGUUUUCGUUUUAUUGACCAUGAAAAAUACUUUUGCCAUAACAUGGACUAUCAUCAAGCUUCCGUGUUUUACCUUUAAGGCACAUCAAAACCAUAAACCUACUAAUUAUUAAACUCUUGGUUUUUAACGCAUGAUCGAACACUGAAAAUAAUUAUGACCCAGAGUUAGGGCUUUUGGUAAGCUACUUCUGAUCCUGGCAAUGUUAUGAGUGUGUUGAAAGGAGUCUGAAGAGAACAUUGCUUGCCUUGAUGGAGUUUUAGACUGUAUACACUACCAGGCUGUUUAAAAACAUAUAACUGGUAUUUCUAAGGAGCAAAAAGUCACGUCUUGUCCCUAUUCUCUUUGAUUGAAUUACUAUUUUCUAAAUUGAAGUUGAACCAUCUGGUUUGCUAAGAAUAGUUUGAAAUCUGCACUAGAAGACAGCAGUUUCAUGAGGUGUUCUGAGAAAGGAUCAGCUUGGUUCCUCUCUGCCCCCACAUCAUUUCUGAUAGGAUAACUCGAAUGUUACUUUUUUUUAAAUUCCAUUUCCUCCUUCUUCUGCCUCCUUUUAUAUAUUAAAGUAUUUAUCUGCAAGCUGAACAUUUGCUUCUAAAAGAUCAUCUCCAGAGGCUGUACAUAGUGCUGCUGUCAUUGCAUUGUUUAACUGGAGUUUAUUUUAAUUUUAAUUAUGUGGAUGCGUGUGUGGGAUACAGGCGAGUCCAGUUACCCUCAAACACUAGACGAAGUCCUCAGAUCUCUUGAUCAAAGCAGUGUGAAUACACUGACAUGGGUGUGUGGGAUCUGGAUUCAGGAGUAGUAUGUACUCUUAACCACUGAGCCACCUCUCCAAGCCUGCUAUCGUAUUGAAGGAAAAACCAUUUCUGAUCUGAGAAGGAUUGGUAUUUGCUGAUGAUCUUCAUAUGACUUGCUUUCUUAAGGAAUCUGAAGGUGUAGAAUGGCCGGGUUAACUCUGGUUUCAAGGAUUUGUUAGCACUGAGAGUAUUUCAAACAUAUUUUCAGCUCUGAAGAAUAUUCUAGAAUGUGAACCGAUAUUUCGAACAAGACUAAAAUGCCUCCAGCGUAACCUUUGUGCAGGGGACUUCGUGAGAAUGGGCAAGCUGUAACAACAGUUAAGAACACAGUCUUCGAAUUCUGUGGCUUUGAGGCAAGCCUUUUAGUAGAACAGUACAUUUUUAUAAAAUUGAUAGGUGACAGAGAACAUUCACAGCCACAACCAUAUUUGACCUUUGAAACACUGCCUUUGAAACAAGGCCCCCAGAGGUGGAGACUAGCAUGUGAUUUAUCUAGUUCAAAUCUAUACCUCACAUUCCUUUAUCACAAGCUCACCACUUCCUGGGCCUAUUUCAUCACAUUUUGAACUGAGAUGCCUCUGGAGACAUCUGAGUACUGUGUGCGUCUGCUGUGGCACUUUUUAACAUCUUCCCUUUUUUGCAAUCAUAGACACUAUUGAUACAAUACCUGUACAAGGCAUAGGGUCAGAACGAUCUAGACGAACAUCAGUUACAGUGAAUCCCUAUCAUGUUGCCUCCCAAGCCAUCCUGGUGUGAGGUGAAGCCUCCCAAGGAUCAUUCCCCCGGAGUUUGCUUUAGCGCAUGUUUCUUCUUCUCCUCUAACUGCAUUGGUCUACAACCAGACUGUUUCUGAUUUCAUUGUGUUCUUCUUACUGUUAAGCUUGUGCUUCUCGGGAGAGCAAGGCCAUUUAAGAUGAGCUGCAUAAUGGGCACCUAGGAGUCAUGGCUGAUUUUAUCCACACUGCUCCAAUUGGGCCAGGCUGUGUGACAAUAACAAACCCAGCAAGUGCUUUCAUUUUACAUGGGCUGGUUUCCUGGGGGACAUUGGAGGACUCUACCUUAUACAUCUGCUGGAUGUUCAUGCAAUAACUAUUGAGCGACUACUCACAAUACUUGAACUUUGCCAGAAUUGAACCAUGACAAUACUUGACCCGCAUAGCUGAGGAAGAGAGAUGCUUUCAGGAACAUUGAUCCCAUUCACUGGUCAGGUAUAUGGUCCGGUCUGUGGAUUGAAGUGCAUGCCCCCAAUUUCAUGUAUUGAAACUUCUAAUAUUACUAUAUUGGGGCAGAGGCUAAAAGGAGAUAAUUGGGGUUAAGUGAAGUCAUAAGAAUGAGGCCAUGGCAUGAUAUGAUUAGCAUCAUUAGAAGAAAGGAUUCCAAAAUACUGGCCUGUGUUCUAUCUCCCUUCCGGUAGACUCCCAGUUAAAAGAUCGUGUGAAUACAGAGCUCUUGACAUACGUGAAAGUGCAGUGGACAAUACAAGCUUAGUUCCUGCUUCAGGGAUGUAAAUGGACCUGUUGCUUUUAUUUGUGGAUUUCAGUUUUUCUACUGAAUUAUGUCCAAGCCACAGGUAAUUAGUAGUUUUAAGUUUUGUGUAUUUCAGUGGGACACAGAAGAACUGAAAACUUAACCAAAUGGGAGGACUUUGUUAAAAUUUUGCAGUUCUAUGAGGCCUGACAUGGCCUUUGUUCUCUUCAUCAUGUCUAUAGAGACACAAAGGGAACUGCUAAGCAAUGAUGUUUAAUGUAGAGAAGUACCCAGCAUAGCUAAGGAAAUAAACAUCACUCUGCAGGUGAUCUGGUUGCCAUAGCAACAACCUAUAUGCCCAUCUUUAUUUUUUCACCUACCAUAGUUCUUUGUUUUCAAUCCAUAGCCCUGUCAAUUAGAAUUUAAAAUAAAUUUAAGACGACGAACAUUUAUGCAAAUGUAAUAAUGAAUCUGGUAUUUUGUAUGCAAACUAAAAUUUAUAAUAAAAUGAAACAAAUUUGACUUACUUGCUCCCUAGUACUCCAAUUUAUGGUAUGUUCUAUGUUGCUUUUCUACAAAAGAAAGCAGAAUUAUGUGAGAACAGAGUCAUGAUAGAACUUAAUUAUUUUUUUUAGCAGCUCAGGAAGACCAACAAUACAUAGAUCACAAUCUGGAAGACUUGUCUCUCAAAAUUCCCAAAUCACAGAGGCAGAGAAAGUAGAGGACUGAAUUCAAUGUUUGGUUUUGGGUUUUUUGGAAAGAUAUAAAAAAAAAUCAUGUGGUAUGCCCUUAAAAAUACUGUCCCUUUUGUAUGUUAACAUUAAAAACCAAUCCUUACUGUAGUGUUACUUUAAAAAUAUCAUUUUAUAAACUAAAGUAGUUGUCCGGAGUUCCUUGAACGCAUGAUUUGGCUUUAAGCAAAUAUACUGUCAGAAAUCAGUGUGGAUACAUUUCCAGCUGCUAAUGCCUUAGUCACAGCCGAUACUUUAUAAAAUCAAUACCCUGAAAUAUCAGAGGAUUAUGCAUAUAUCAGAUACCCCAAAUGCCAACGUUGUUUUAAUUACUCUAAUAAAAGAAAGCUGGUAGAC